rnacentral:rRNA from 1 species
CAGCAGUGGGGAAUAUUGCACAAUGGGGGAAACCCUGAUGCAGCGACGCCGCGUGGAGGAAGAAGGUCUUCGGAUUGUAAACUCCUGUUGUUGAGGAAGAUAAUGACGGUACUCAACAAGGAAGUGACGGCUAACUACGUGCCAGCAGCCGCGGUAAAACGUAGGUCACAAGCGUUGUCCGGAAUUACUGGGUGUAAAGGGAGCGCAGGCGGGAAGACAAGUUGGAAGUGAAAUCCAUGGGCUCAACCCAUGAACUGCUUUCAAAACUGUUUUUCUUGAGUAGUGCAGAGGUAGGCGGAAUUCCCGGUGUAGCGGUGGAAUGCGUAGAUAUCGGGAGGAACACCAGUGGCGAAGGCGGCCUACUGGGCACCAACUGACGCUGAGGCUCGAAAGUGUGGGUAGCAAACAGGAUUAGAUACCCUGGUAGUCCACACUGUAAACGAUGAUUACUAGGUGUUGGAGGAUUGACCCCUUCAGUGCCGCAGUUAACACAAUAAGUAAUCCACCUGGGGAGUACGACCGCAAGGUUGAAACUCAAAGGAAUUGACGGGGGCCCGCACAAGCAGUGGAGUAUGUGGUUUAAUUCGACGCAACGCGAAGAACCUUACCAAGUCUUGACAUCCUGCGACGGUGCUGGAAACAGUACUUUCCUUCGGGACGCAGAGACAGGUGGUGCAUGGUUGUCGUCAGCUCGUGUCGUGAGAUGUUGGGUUAAGUCCCGCAACGAGCGCAACCCUUAUCAUUAGUUGCUACGCAAGAGCACUCUAAUGAGACUGCCGUUGACAAAACGGAGGAAGGUGGGGAUGACGUCAAAUCAUCAUGCCCUUUAUGACUUGGGCUACACACGUACUACAAUGGCGUUAAACAAAGAGAAGCAAGACCGCGAGGUGGAGCAAAACUCAGAAACAACGUCCCAGUUCGGACUGCAGGCUGCAACUCGCCUGCACGAAGUCGGAAUUGCUAGUAAUCGCAGAUCAGCAUGCUGCGGUGAAUACGUUCCCGGGCCUUGUACACACCGCCCGUCACACCAUGAGAGCCGGGGGGACCCGAAGUCGGUAGUCUAACCGCAAGGAGGACGCCGCCGAAGGUAAAACUGGUGAUUGGGGUGAAGUCGUAACAAGGUAGCCGUAGGAGAACCUGCGGCUG